AUUGAACGCUGGCGGCAGGCCUAACACAUGCAAGUCGAGCGGAUGAAGGGGGCUUGCUCCUGGAUUCAGCGGCGGACGGGUGAGUAAUGCCUAGGAAUCUGCCUGGUAGUGGGGGAUAACGUCCGGAAACGGGCGCUAAUACCGCAUACGUCCUGAGGGAGAAAGUGGGGGGUCUUCGGACCUCACGCUAUCAGAUGAGCCUAGGUCGGAUUAGCUAGUUGGUGGGGUAAAGGCCUACCAAGGCGACGAUCCGUAACUGGUCUGAGAGGAUGAUCAGUCACACUGGAACUGAGACACGGUCCAGACUCCUGCGGGAGGCAGCAGUGGGGAAUAUUGGACAAUGGGCGAAAGCCUGAUCCAGCCAUGCCGCGUGUGUGAAGAAGGUCUUCGGAUUGUAAAGCACUUUAAGUUGGGAGGAAGGGCAGUAAGUUAAUACCUUGCUGUUUUGACGUUACCAACAGAAUAAGCACCGGCUAACUUCGUG
rnacentral:rRNA from 1 species